UUUGGAGGGCAAGUCUGGUGCCAGCAGCCGCGGUAAUUCCAGCUCCAAUAGCGUAUAUUAAAGUUGUUGCAGUUAAAAAGCUCGUAGUUGAAUUUCGAGAUCGGCUUACUGGUCGUGCUUUUGUACGUACUGGUAUAAUCGGUUUCUCCUUUCUGACGAACUUCAAUGCCAUUAAUUUGGUGUUUUAGGGAAUCAGGACUGUUACUUUGAAAAAAUUAGAGUGUUUAAAGCAGGCUCACGCUUGAAUACAUUAGCAUGGAAUAACGGAAUAGGACGUUUGAUUCUAUUUUGUUGGUUUCUAGGAUCGACGUAAUGAUUAAUAGGGAUAGUUGGGGGCAUUAGUAUUCAAUUGUCAGAGGUGAAAUUCUUGGAUUUAUUGAAGACUAACUACUGCGAAAGCAUUUGCCAAGGAUGUUUUCAUUAAUCAAGAACGAAAGUUAGGGGAUCGAAGACGAUCAGAUACCGUCGUAGUC
rnacentral:rRNA from 1 species